CUAUGGCGGACACAGAUCACGCCACAGCUGCGGGGCGCCGGCGUCUUCCACUACGUCGAUGGCACGGCGACCGAGCCGGCCAAAGUCUUCCUCACCACCAAGGAUGCCACCGGCAAGGAGACCACUGGGCCGAAUCCCCUUCAUCCGCUCUGGGUGAGGGAGGACCAGCAGGUCCUUGGAUACCUGCUCCAAAACCUCUCCAAGGAGGUGCUCGUCGCGGUGACCACGAUCACCACGGCGCGCGAACUCUGGGUGGCACUGGUGAGCAUGUUCUCGUCGCAGUCACUCAGCCGCGUCAACAACAUCCGCACAACGCUGAUCAAUGUGCAGAAGGGCAAUCAAUCGGUGGCCUCCUUCUUCGCCACCAUGAGGGGUCUCGCCGAUGAACUCGCCGCGGCGGGAAAACCCAUCCAGGAUGACGAGCUCAUGUCCUACAUUUUCCACGGGCUGGACCAAGAUUAUCAGCCCCUUGUCUCCGCACUGGAUGCCCGCGUCACCCCGGUAACCCUUGAUGAACUUUUUGCCAUGCUCAGUAACUGUGAUCAACGCAUGGCGCAGUACCAUGGCUCCGGUGUUGGCUUCAAAUCGUCGGCCAACUCUGCAUUCAGAGGCCGCGGUGGUGGCUCUCGCUCGCGUCCAUCUCCCCGUGGCAAGGGGAGGUUCGGCUCCGGCGGUGGUGGCUACUCCAACAACCCACGCGGCGGCGGACGCUCUGGCAACUCCAAAGGGCGUUGCGGUGGUGGCUCCAGCAGAUCCCGUCCGGACUUGCCUCGCUUCCAAAUUUGUGGCAAGCCUGGCCAUACGGCGAAGGACUGUUGGUACCGCUACGAAGAAGAUGGCGGUGACUCCUCGCAAGAUGAAGAAAAAGUUGUC
rnacentral:rRNA from 1 species